rnacentral:rRNA from 1 species
CGUGGGUAACCUGCCCAAGAGACUGGGAUAACACCUGGAAACAGAUGCUAAUACCGGAUAACAACACUAGACGCAUGUCUAGAGUUUAAAAGAUGGUUCUGCUAUCACUCUUGGAUGGACCUGCGGUGCAUUAGCUAGUUGGUAAGGUAACGGCUUACCAAGGCAAUGAUGCAUAGCCGAGUUGAGAGACUGAUCGGCCACAUUGGGACUGAGACACGGCCCAAACUCCUACGGGAGGCAGCAGGC